AUGAAACCAUGGAUCUUCCCUCACAUUCGACAGUUACAUUCACUCUUCCUUUUCAUUCUUUUUUGGGUAAAGCACAAACGCCGCACUGCAAACACACUACAACCACCACCACCGGAAGCCAGCGGCGCCUGGCCUUUAAUCGGUCACCUCCACCUUUUAGCUGGCUCCCAACCAGCUCACACCACCUUGGGUAACAUGGCUGACAAAUACGGACCUAUCUUCACCUUGCGUUUAGGCGUUCACCGAACUUUAGUUGUAAGCAACUCAAAAAUGGCUAAAGAGUGCUUUACUGUUAACGACAAAGCGUUUGCUUCCCGUCCCAAAACAUUAGCCACUGAAAUUUUGGGCUUAAACUUUUCCAUGUUUAUUUUCAUACCCUACGGUUCCUAUUGGCGCCACGUGCGUAAGAUAGCAACCUUGGAGGUCCUCGCCACCAAACGCAUAUAGAUACUUAAGCAUGUGAUGGAAUCGGAGAUUAAAGCAGCUAUGAAAGAGAGUUACAAUUUUUGGGUAAAGAUGAAGGAGAAGGAGAGUGAUGGUACUGAUCAAAAGGUUAUUCCUAUUACUGAGAUGAAGAAGUGGUUUGGUGAUAUAACACUCAAUAUUAUGUUUAGAACGGUGAUAGGAAAACGUUUGGUUGGGGUUGGUUGUGAUGGUGAAAUAUAUAGUGGAGGAAAAUGAAAGGAUACAAAAAGCAGUUAAGGACUUUUUCCAUCUCAGUGGUUUGUUCCCUGUGUCUGAUGCGAUUCCGUUUUUGAGAUGGUUGGAUUUGGAUGGAGCAGAGAAGAAGAUGAAGAAGACAGCCAAAGAGUUAGAUGAUUUUGCUCAGGUUUGGCUUGAGCAACACAAACGCAAUAGAGACAUUGGUUCAGGGGAAUGGAAUGAGGGUAAGCAUGACUUCAUGGACGUGCUUAUUUCCACCGUUGAUGAUGAAGGUUUUGAUGGUCAUGAUGCUGAUACCCGGAAAUGUUAUAUACACACCUUGAAUAGUGUCCCUCUCCAUUUCCACCUCUGCCACAUCACAACCAGCCUGAUCAGCUUGCCACCGUGUAAUUGUUGGAAAAGAAAAGAAACUUAUUUGGCCUGGAAAAUUAGAAACUGAGGGAAAAGAGGGGGAAACCAAAAUUGGAAAAAAUUAGGGUUCUCUCUCCCCAAACUCCCCACACCAUUUCCUUCUCUUCCCUUGGCUUUCCUCCUCCACUCGGUUCUCUCUCCCCAAACCCCCCACCACCACCUCCAUUACCCGAUUCCCUUCUCUUCCAUUCCCUUCUCUUCCCUUGGCUUUCCUCCUCCACUCCGUCACGGACGACCACGCGCAAGUCUGUCGAGGGUUCGUUCUCUACUCCUUCGCCGCCACCUUGCUGCCUCUAGCGCCGCCAACAGGCGCUCCUCUUCCUGCGGUUCCGUUCUCCACUCCGUCGUCGCCACGUUGCUGCUGCUAGCGCCGCCAACGGGCUCCAACCUCCUCUUCUCUACUCUUCUGUGCAGAGCGAAUUGUCACACCACGCUCCUCGCUGGUUCCAGUGCCAUUGCAAGCCCUUUGUGCAGAGGUUGCACAUUGAAUUAGUAUUCCCUUCCAACCCAAGGCGGGCAAGUGAGAGCUUUGACCUUAUUGUGUUGUUAUCAUGAAGCGUUCCAAGUCACAAGGUGGGCAUCAGGUACGCCUAAGGAAUAAGUGUGGAACCUGCUACAUAUUAAGAGCCAAUAACCAGUUGAGAGACCCGAAAGCAGAUAAGCAUUUGACCCAAUUGAUAAGUCAACGAAUUGAGGCUACGCCGUUCAAAUGGUGCUUGUACCUAGAGGAAAAAAUAAGUAUAUAUGGUAUAUUGUUGAGAGAAUUGAUUAGCAGGUGGUCACCAGACGGUGGUGAAUUUAGAGUAGGAACUAGGGUUAUACAUUUCACUCCUCUAGAUGUAUGCUUUGCGCUUGGGUUGUGCAUUUCAGGUGAACCAGUGGAGUGUAAGGAAGAAGCAGAGUCUCAAACUAGAGCAUUUUUUGUAUAUUUUAUGUGUAAGGUAUAAUAUAUAUAGAAAUUUUUUGGCAAGGGAAAUGGCAAUGUUUUGUAUUAACUACAAACGUAUAGGGUUAUAUUCAAGGACUAACAGUUUGGCCACUUUGUACAUGACAAUGAAAUCAGAUGUUCAGGCUUGAUCCCAUAUAUAUAUAUGUUUUAUGUUGUUCAUUUUCA